rnacentral:rRNA from 1 species
AGCGAACGCUGGCGGCAGGCCUAAUACAUGCAAGUCGAGCGGCCCUUCGGGGCAGCGGCGGACGGGUGAGUAACGCGUGGGAAUGUGCCCUUUGGUACGGAACCACACAGGGAAACUUGUGCUAAUACCGUAUGUGCCCUUCGGGGGAAAGAUUUAUCGCCAGUGGAGCAGCCCGGGUUGGAUUAGGGAGUUUGUGGGGUAAAGGCUCACCAAGCCUACGAUCCAUAGCUGGUCGGAGAGGAUGAUAAGCCACACUGGGGCUGAGACACGGCCCAGACUCCUACGGGAGGCAGCAGUAGGGAAUAUUGCGCAAUGGGCGAAAGCCUGACGCAGCCAUGCCGCGUGAAUGAUGAAGGUCUUAGGAUUGUAAAAUUCUUUCACCGGGGAAGAUAAUGACGGUACCCGGAGAAGAAGCCCCGGCUAACUUCGUGCCAGCCGCCGCGGUAACAC